rnacentral:rRNA from 1 species
CACGUAGGGUCCGAGCGUUGUCCGGAUUUAUUGGGCGUAAAGGGCCCGUAGGCGGCUUGAUAAGUCGGAUGUGAAAUCCCCAGGCUCAACUUGGGAACUGCAUCCGAUACUGGAUGGCUUGAAUUCGGGAGAGGGAUGCAGAAUUCCAGGUGUAGCGGUGAAAUGCGUAGAUAUCUGGAGGAAUACCGGUGGCGAAGGCGGCAUCCUGGACCGACAUUGACGCUGAGGAGCGAAAGCUAGGGGAGCAAACGGG